GCCAGACUCCUACGGGAGGCAGCAGUGGGGAAUAUUGCACAAUGGGCGAAAGCCUGAUGCAGCAACGCCGCGUGAAGGAAGAAGGGUUUCGGCUCGUAAACUUCUAUCAACAGGGACGAAAGAAAUGACGGUACCUGACUAAGAAGCCCCGGCUAACUACGUGCCAGCAGCCGCGGUAAUACGUAGGGGGCAAGCGUUAUCCGGAUUUACUGGGUGUAAAGGGAGCGUAGACGGCGAUGCAAGCCAGAUGGGAAAGCCCGGGGCUCAACCCCGGGACUGCAUUUGGAACUGUGUGGCUGGAGUGUCGGAGAGGCAGGCGGAAUUCCUAGUGUAGCGGUGAAAUGCGUAGAUAUUAGGAGGAACACCAGUGGCGAAGGCGGCCUGCUGGACGAUGACUGACGUUGAGGCUCGAAAGCGUGGGGAGCAAACAGGAUUAGAUACCCGAGUA
rnacentral:rRNA from 1 species